GACGAACGCUGGCGGCGUGCUUAACACAUGCAAGUCGAGCGGUAAGGCCCCUUCGGGGGUACACGAGCGGCGAACGGGUGAGUAACACGUGAGCAAUCUGCCCAUCACAUCGGGAUAACUCCGGGAAACCGAAGCUAAUACCGAAUACGACCACCUCCGGCAUCGGAUGGUGGUGGAAAGUUCCGGCGGUGAUGGAUGAGCUCGCGGCCUAUCAGCUUGUUGGUGGGGUAACGGCCCACCAAGGCUUCGACGGGUAGCCGGCCUGAGAGGGUGACCGGCCACACUGGGACUGAGACACGGCCCAGACUCCUACGGGAGGCAGCAGUGGGGAAUAUUGGACAAUGGGCGAAAGCCUGAUCCAGCAACGCCGCGUGAGGGAUGACGGCCUUCGGGUUGAAAACCUCUUUCAGCAGGGACGAAGCGCAAGUGACGGUACCUGCAGAAGAAGCACCGGCCAACUACGUG
rnacentral:rRNA from 1 species